CUUCUUGUAGUAAAAUAAUUUCAUGUAAAGCAUAGUAGUGCUGUGAUGUAGUAUUAUUAUUAACAUAUUAAUUAACCUUAGUACUAUAGUAAUAUACUAUAUUGUUUGUAGUAUAUUAUUGCAUUGUAUUAUUAAUAACUCGAAACUUAUUGCUGGCACUUGAAAAACGAUGCUCUUGAGAUAUUUCUCCAGUUUAUCCUAUCGAUAUUUCUUUAUUAACUCAGCAUAGAGACCUUUUAAGUAAAUCUCCAAACGGAGCGAUUCAAAUUUAAUGGAACGAUAAGCACUACAGUUGAUGAAAAUUACUAGUAUCUUCUUCGAUCAACACUGUCUUUGUGACCAAAUACACUUCUGCCAUUAAAUAGAAAUCAUUGAAAAUAUAUACGUUUUAAAUCACAUCUAUUGCUGAAAGAAACUAUUUAGAGAAAUAACGGGUUAAAUAAAGUACCCGAGAUCUUUUGAGAGAUUUUUAGUAAAAUAUCCCAAGAAUUGUUUUCGAUUUGAACAAAAAACGGUCACAAAAGAGGUCAUCGCUACGUAGCCACACUUCCCGUUAACGUUAGCCCACCUCUUCGGAAAUUACAAUUGUUUAUAAGAAGGAAUAUCCAGUUAGUUUUGUUUACGUCGUUAUUGCCGGUUGUCUAGAUUGUUUUGAAAAACUGUUUUACCGACAGAAUAACAAAACUUGUACCAAUGCCAAUUUCCUGUAUUGUAAAUAAUGCGUAAAAAAAUAAAAAUUUCAAAAAUAGUCUGAAUUUCGAUCGAAUAUUACGGAUUUUGUACUUAUAAAAAAAAGGUAGGCCUAUUUAUUUUUUAAGAAAAUACUUCAUUUCGAUGUUGCUGUUUUA